GCACUGCUAUUUGGUUCAGAGAAGCACCAAUUAAUUCGACUGCUCUCUGAUCCACUUGAAGAACUCGGCUGGAAAUCAAACAAAGCCAACCUAAAAAAAAAAAGUCUAACACUAGAGUAUUCCUGUACCCUGGAGAAGGCAGCACUCGAGCCACCAUCUUGGAAGUGAAGAUCAGGCCCUCAGCAGACACAAAACCUGCCAGUGCCAUGAUCUUGGAUUUUUCAACCUCCAGAACUGAAAUACUCUCUGAGUAGGUGACAUUUACAUUAAGACCUCCAAGAUGAUAAUGAGAUAAAGGAGCAAGUGCACAUAAAGAAGGAGGAAAAGGCUUGGCACAGUAGAACAGAAAGACAGCCAUUGCAAAUGAAGAUCCUGAG